GUGGAGACCACCCUGUUCUGCGCUCGCCACCUCCUUGUCCCAGCUGCAUCCCUGUAGGGCCUGGAGAGAGAGCCCAGCUCUGGGGGUGGGUGGGGACGCUGUGAGGGAGCAGCAGGGCUGUGGUGUGCUGCAUGUUAUUUCAUGUGUUCGUAUGUGUGGGUGUGUCUGUGUACAAAUCCUGGGAGGGAUUCUGCUUCUGGGUGUGUGUAUAGUUGUGAGUGUGUAAUUGUGGACAAGUGUACAUGCAUUGUAUUCAUGGUUGUGCAUACACUUGUGUGUGUCAGUUUACAUGAGUCAGUGUGUGUGUCACGUGCAUGCUGGGUGAACCUGUGUGCUCCUCUCUGAGUAAAUACUAGAGGCAGUGUGCAGGGAAGACUGUGUGUGUGUGCCUGUCUUUAUGUGAGUCUUUGUUUGUGUGGCAUAUGUGUGUCUGUGCCAGCCCUGGUGUCAUGUCUCACCUUCUCAAAACCCAGGAACAUACCAUCACUGUCUAGAAGCUCAGUUUCUCACCUGUAAAAUGGAAACACAGAGGACCCGCAUCAGCUGUGCAUUCACUGGCCUGUCUGGACCACGCACUCCCUUCUGUGAGUGUGGUAGCUGUGGGGUCACUGCGCAAGCUCCCAGGAGCCCCGCCUGAGCUGCUCUGAUCCAGGCCACAGAAGCAGCCCCUACUGGGACAUGCCACUCUCAGGGAAGAGGACGCAGGAGCACGGGAGCUCAUGGAAAUGACAGCAGUCCCUGAGGCAGUUUGCAACCCCAUGAAGAUUGGAACAACCUGGAUGGCUCCUAUAAGUUCCUGGUUUGACUUCCUAUUGCCAUUAUGGAUAAGUGGAGAAAUCUGAAUGUACAAGAGAAGGAGUUAAGAAUACGGAAUUACUAUUCAUUGAGUUGGCGUGAAAUGCUAUUGAAGGCCUAUGGAAAAUAUCUUUUUAGAGAUGCAUGCUGAAUAUUUAGGGAUAUAAUAUCAUGAUAUCUAUAAUUUACUUUAAAAUAUUUCAGCAUAAAAAUGGAAAUUGAUAAAAUCUACGGUGUUCAGAUAAUAUUAACAUGAAGAUUCCAGAAAAGAUCAUUUGUUUUGUACAGUACAAACUCAAGAUUUUUUAAAAAAAUUUAGAUGUUAUGAAAAAGACAAAUAAAAAAUAAGGAAAGAAAUUUAGUUAGAAUGAAUAGAGAACAAAAAUCCAACCCAAGAAUUUGAGAAACCCCAAAGGCACCGAGCAGUGGGUUGGUCUGGGCACCUCCGCCUUCUCGCUCUGUCUUGCCUCCCUUUCCAAUCUGCUCUCUUCUCCAUUUUCUCUCUCACACAAACAUGUUCACAUACUUUGGAGGGUCUUCAUAUCAUCUAAUCCCUUAAUGUUUAAAGAUAUUUAAGGAUACCCCCAAUCUUUUUAGCUCUCUGUGGUUUUCUAAGUGCUGUCAUCUGCCAUGUGGUUCUUAAACCUGCGAGAGAGGCUUCAUGGGUGGGAUGAGGAGGCUCAGAGAGGCCGUGCUCCCUCCUCAAGGCUGUGCCCCUAGGGAGGAGCAGAGGAGGUGUGAAGAGCUGGUUUCCCAGUGCCGAGUCAGGGGACCUUUCCCAGACCACGCCCACAUCCCUUUCCCUCUCCGCGGAGCCGCACUGCAGGGGGUUGGUGUCUCCCAGGCCCCCUGAUCACACGGGUGUUCAGGACCCGCUGACUCUUACAGACUCAGAGCAGUGCUUCCCAAAGUGCAGGGUCAGAACCACCAGCUGGUUGCUGAAAAGGGCUUAGUUUUCAGAACAGAACUACUGAAUCACCUCGAGGAAGGGGACCUGAACUUCUUUUUCUAAAUGAACAUUGCAGGUGACUCUAAUGUACCCUAAAGUUUGGGGCACACUUGCCUUGAGGCCAAGAAAGCAGAUGGGCCAGUAUUCUAGAGUGCCCUCUGGCUUCCCCCAGCCGUGUUGCAGCCUCCAACCCCUGUUUCUGUCUGGGAGGAGCCCCCGCCUGCUUAGGGAGGGGCUUCGGCAGGCCGGAGUGGCGAGCCCGGAUUUCCUCCCUCCUCCUCCUCACACUCACACCACAGGGCAGGUACGCUAGCAUGAAGUAAGGGUAAACUUGAUGUUUCUGUUCUAGUGUGGCAGAUUAAGUGGCUUUUUAAAUUAAACAGUUAUUAUAAACAUCUUUUCAUAUAUAAGUGAAAACAUUUUAACAUCAUAUAUGAUAGAGUAUUCCACUGAUUUAAUGGAUUACAUCAUUUCUAAAACAGCUUUAUUUGAGACAUAAAUCAGUACCAUUAAAAUGGACCUCCUUAAAGUAUACAGUUCAAUAGUUUUGAUCUAUUAACAGAGCUGUGCAUUCAUCACCACAGUCUAACUUCAGGGCAUUUCCAUCACCCCCAAAAGAAACUCUCAUUUUCUUUUCCCACAGUCACUGGUGGCCACUAGUCUCCUUUCUGUCUCUAUGGUUUUGCCUCUUCUGUAAUUUUUAAACAGAAUCUCUACUGCUGAGUGUUUAUAUUGUUCCUACAUUUUUACCAUUAUUAACAAGGCUAUGAUGAACAUCUAAUAUAUCCAUUUUUAUACUUUUGUCCAAUUAUAUUCUUAAAAGACAUUUCUAGAAUUAGAAUUUGUUUAAUCAGAAAUAUGUUCUUUUGUUUGUUUCCAAAGUCACAAAAUGACAUUGUUGAGGAUACAUUCUUCUCUUUGGUGUGCAUGGAAAAAUAGUCAUAUGGAGAAAAUAUUUGGUAAUAAUAACAGUAAGAAAGAGAGAGAAAAUGUAUAUUUUAUAUCACACUUCUAUGAACUUUAAGAAAUAUAGAAUUAAAUAUACAAAAACUGGAAGACCAAGUAUAAGCAGUCUGCAUUUGCUUCAGUGCUCAGUACUAUCAUAAUGAUUCCUAACACAAAAACAAGAGUUCAUGGAUCUCAAGUAUCUUCAAUAAAUGCUGGUAUAACUUAUGACUUUUGGCCCUGCUUCUUUAAGAGAUACUUUUCUCAGUAUUUGUGAUUUAGCUCCAAAAGUCCAUUUUGCUAUUUCCUUGAAGUAUUGAGUUAAUUUCAAAACUUCUUCGUGUUUAUCUUGAUUUCUCAGUAAUGAAAGCUGUGAAAAUUAAAAUAUUUUCACAGCUCAGCUUGGCAAGGAUGAAUGAAACUGACAGUUUUCAUGACAUUAAUUUGGGGAGUGAAAGUUGAAACUGUCUUCUUGAAGGACAUUCUGGCAAUGUGUAUGAAAAUGAAAAGCAUGCAUCCCUUUGACUAUGACUAAGAUAUAUGCAAAAGAUCUACAUACACAGAUAUUCACUGACGUAUUGUCUAUAAUAGAGAAAACAGGAAAAAAAUCUAAAUCUCCAUCAUCAGAAUAUUGAUUAAAACAUACAUGUGGUAUGACCAUAAAAUGCAAUAGUAUACAGCCAUUAGAGAUGAUGGAAAUAUUGGCAGAGAAUGUUCUCCACCACAUUGUUGAAAACAAAAAUGAUUUAAUGAAAAACAAAAUGGGGAGAAUUUCACCAAAAUGUUAACAGAAUCUGGGGUGAUGUUUGCUUUCUUCACAUUUUUAAAAAUUUUGCUAUCAUUAAAGUACAAUUACAUGAACAACAUUAUGGUUAUGAGACUCGACCCCACCACAUAGCCCACUACAGUCACUGUCCAUCAGCGUAGUAAGAUGCUAUAGAAUCACUAUUUGUCUUCUCUGUGUUAUACUGCCUUCCCCGUGUCCCCCCCCACACACAUUAUACAUGCUAAUUGUGAUUCCCCUUUUUCCCCACCCUUAUCCAUCCCUUCUCACCCAUCCUCCCCAGUCCCUUUCCCUUUGGUAACUGUUAGUCCAUUCUUGGGUUCUGUGAGUCUACUGCUGUUUUGUUCCUUCAGUUUUUGUUUUGUUCUUAUACUCCACAGAUGAGUGAAAUCAUUUGAUACUUGUC